UUACUUUACCCGUGGUCUCUGGACGAUCAAGAAGGUCCAUGGCCUAGAUUGGUGAUCUCCAUUACACAUAUAGGAGAGGUGCUUGUCUAAGAUCGGCUCAAGUGGUUGAAUCUAUGUCAUUAUUUACGUAUAAUAUUAUGUAUACGUAAUUAUCUU